rnacentral:rRNA from 1 species
UACGGAGGGUGCGAGCGUUGUCCGGAAUCACUGGGCGUAAAGGGCGCGUAGGCGGCUCGGUAAGCGUGUGGUGAAAGCCUGGGACUCAACCCCGGGUCGGCCAUGCGAACUGUCGAGCUGGAGCACUGUAGAGGCAGGCGGAAUUCCGGGUGUAGCGGUGGAAUGCGUAGAGAUCCGGAAGAACACCGGUGGCGAAGGCGGCCUGCUGGGCAGUAGCUGACGCUGAGGCGCGACAGCGUGGGGAGCAAACAGG